GCGGGCGUGGCGGAACUGGCAGACGCGCCGGGUUUAGGUCCCGGUGCUCCUUGGAGCUUGGGGGUUCGAGUCCCUCCGCCCGCA
rnacentral:tRNA from 1 species